AUCCUCUGUCUUAUCUAAUUUUCUCCUUACACCCUUUUCUUUCCAUAGCAUCUCUGCCCAUCAUUCUCCUUGUUGGCUUGUUCCUUGGAGUGUGUAACAUAGACAGUUACGGGUGUGGUGUUGCUCAUGGGAUGCUAGCUUCUUUGAUUCCAGUGCCGGUCCAGAAGCUAAACAGAAGGUACAUCUGGAAACACACUCUUAACUGUUGCCCAUUCCCUCUGUCGUGCAAGGAGUGAGCAGAUCCUGCCCCAGAUGCACUUUCCCGUCCCCGCAGGACAGAACCUCUUCAAACUGUCUUGUUGGAGCUUUGAGAAGCUAGAGCUUGAGCAUUCAGCUUAGAAAUAUUUACAAAUAUUUCCCAGGAAACAUGACUAAAUCUGCAGGAAAUGUGACCAUCUCUGUGCUUGUUAUUGUGAAAGACGGCUCCCAUGUUUUGGGGUU
rnacentral:lncRNA from 1 species